rnacentral:tRNA from 1 species
GUCACGAUAGCUCAAGUGGUAGAGGAUCAGCGUGUUUAGCCGAAGGUCGUGGGUUCGAAUCCCGCUCGUGACA